CCUCUUGGCGGGGCGGGCAGUGGGCAGGUGCGCGGUUCUUACCUGAUACCUGCUGUCCGCUGUGAGAUGAGAGCUAUAAGGCUGCUAGUUUCUCCGGCAGAUGAAAGGAUUCAGAAAUUAAGUUACCAGCUCAAGUUCACAGAGAUCUGUGGCAGACAUUCAGAGCUUCCCAGCAGAAAAUUGCCUUGUGCGGCACAGCAGCCAUACCAGCACUGCUAGAAGAAGCUGGCAGGACUACCUACCAGGUGAAGGCAGUGAGAGGCAGAUGACCAGAUGUGUCUUGACUAUCUCCAGAGCAGGAGACUCCUCAACCUCUCUGGGCAGCCUGUUCCACAGCUCUCUCAACCCACAGUGAAGACGUUCUUUACUGAUGCCCAUUGUGGCAAAGGGAACAAAUGGUCACGGGCAGAUGGGAGAUGCCUAAUAUCCAAACCCAUACAUUGCUGAGCUACAGUCUUUGGUGAAAGCUUUCUUCUGAAAUGAGAACUGCUGGUGAGCUAGUGAGCUCAACUCCAAAGGUUUGGUUAACCACAUAAGACAUUGGCUUUCCUUCAGAAGUUAUUAGCUAAUGCGGUUUUAAAGUGUUUGUCAAUAAAUGUUUCUAACUUUAUGGCUUGAGGCCUGAACUGAAACAGUAAAAAGAAAAGAAACAAGUGCAGUAUUGUUUUAAAUAGUUUUAAAAGGAAAAAACAAACAAACAAACAAACAAAAACCCUAACAAUGGGUAUUAGAUUAUUCCCUCCCAAUAACAUGUAUUUGUAAUGGAAGCAACGCAAUGUUAAAGGCUUUGUGUGGCACAAUAGCACAUCUCACAGGUGCUGUGAUGAACAGGACACAGCGCAGUGCCUGUAAGGGAACUGUAAUAGGAGAGGUAAGGCAUUUUAUUAAUAAGAGAUGAGCUCAACAUUAGAUGUGAAUAAAUCUUCUGUAAAAUAAAGCCAUUAGAGCUAGCAAGAAGUAUUACUCAAUCAUACAGUAGCAGACAGUUCAACUAAUGUAGCUGCUCUAGAUCUGACCCUCAGCCAAGUGAGACCUUAUUCUGUAAAUGUUGUAGGACAAAGGAGGUCUGAUUUAGUAUCAAAAAUUUCACAGAAGCCUAUAAUCUAGAACUGUUUUUUAGGUGCCUACCAAAUUCUAUCAAUGUUUAAACAGAUUUAUGCAACACCAGUGAGCUGCGGAGUUCAUUGGGAAACUACAGCCUAAUGUGGUAAUGGUGACAUCAUUAGCAUGUUCACAGGUCUCUUCUUACCAAUGGAAUCAGGAGGGCUACAACAUGCCUCCAGAGUGACCUCAGAGUGACUAUUUUGGGUAAUGUUUUAAAUGCAGACAUCAGUUACUGCAGUAAACUGACUGGAAUAUUCAGCUGUGCAUCUUUGUAGGUUUUGUGCUUCUAUUUUCUCGAAACAAACACACCUCUGCCUGAACUCAUACACGUUUUGGAGAGUCAUACGUUUCUCCCAUAACCCUAGUUACUCCUGGAGAAAAGUGGUGUUUCUUUGACACAGCUUUUGAAAAUACAACUACUUCUUGUAAAAUGAAACUUUAUUCUAAAAUGUAUCCAAAAUUGCAAGACACAAGCACCAUUAAACAGAUAAAUAGACAUAUAUUUAUGUACAGAGAGCAUCAAAACACAAAACAAUUGUUAAUAUAAUUCUUAUACCAUUUUAAUGAGUAUCCAUCAAUAAAACUUUACAAUUUAAAGAAGACUUUUCAGUUGCAAAACAGUUGUAAAAUCAUAUGUAUAAAUUAUGUUUACUACAAUUCCAA